AACGAACGCUGGCGGCAUGCCUAACACAUGCAAGUCGAACGAAGUCUUCGGACUUAGUGGCGCACGGGUGCGUAACGCGUGGGAAUCUGCCCUUGGGUGCGGAAUAACUUCUCGAAAGGGAUGCUAAUACCGCAUAAUGUCGUAAGACCAAAGAUUUAUCGCCCAAGGAUGAGCCCGCGUAAGAUUAGCUAGUUGGUGGGGUAAAAGCCUACCAAGGCGACGAUCUUUAGCUGGUCUGAGAGGAUGAUCAGCCACACUGGGACUGAGACACGGCCCAGACUCCUACGGGAGGCAGCAGUGGGGAAUAUUGGACAAUGGGCGAAAGCCUGAUCCAGCAAUGCCGCGUGAGUGAUGAAGGCCCUAGGGUUGUAAAGCUCUUUUACCAGGGAUGAUAAUGACAGUACCUGGAGAAUAAGCUCCGGCUAACUCCGUAGCCAGCAGCCGCGGUAAU
rnacentral:rRNA from 1 species